UGCCUGGCUCAAAGUUUAAUUUUUAGCUC
rnacentral:piRNA from 1 species